CGAAACUAACAGAUUUACUUCGGUAAUGACGAUAGGAAAGCGAGCGGCGGAUGGGUGAGUAACACGUGGGGAACCUGCCCCAUAGUCUGGGAUACCACUUGGAAACAGGUGCUAAUACCGGAUAAGAAAGCAGAUCGCAUGAUCAGCUUUUAAAAGGCGGCGUAAGCUGUCGCUAUGGGAUGGCCCCGCGGUGCAUUAGCUAGUUGGUAAGGUAAAGGCUUACCAAGGCGAUGAUGCAUAGCCGAGUUGAGAGACUGAUCGGCCACAUUGGGACUGAGACACGGCCCAAACUCCUACGGGAGGCAGCAGUAGGGAAUCUUUCACAAUGGACGCAAGUCUGAUGGAGCAACGCCGCGUGAGUGAAGAAGGUUUUCGGAUCGUAAAGCUCUGUUGUUGGUGAA
rnacentral:rRNA from 1 species